GAAGGGGGCUAGCGUUGCUCGGAAUCACUGGGCGUAAGGGCGCGUAGGCGGCCGAUUAAGUCGGGGGUGAAAGCCUGUGGCUCAACCACAGAAUUGCCUUCGAUACUGGUUGGCUUGAGACCGGAAGAGGACAGCGGAACUGCGAGUGUAGAGGUGAAAUUCGUAGAUAUUCGCAAGAACACCAGUGGCGAUGGCGGCUGUCUGGUCCGGUUCUGACGCUGAGGCGCGAAAGCGUGGGGGAGCAAACAGGAUUAGAUACCCUGGUAGUCCACGCCGUAAACGAUGAAUGCCCAGCCGUUGGCCUGCUUGCAGGUCAGUGGCGCCGCUAACGCAUUAAGCAUUCCGCCUGGGGAGUACGGUCGCAAGAUUA
rnacentral:rRNA from 1 species